ACAGCAGCCGCCGCGGUAAUACGAAGGGUGCAAGCGUUACUCAGAAUUACUGGGCGUAAAGCGUGCGUAGGUGGUGGUUUAAGUCCGUUGUGAAAGCUCUGGGCUCAACCUGGGAAUUGCAGUGGAUACUGGAUCACUAGAGUGUGGUAGAGGAUAGUGGAAUUUCCGGUGUAGCAGUGAAAUGCGUAGAGAUCGGAAGGAACAUCUGUGGCGAAGGCGACUAUCUGGGCCAACACUGACACUGAGGCACGAAAGCGUGGGGAGCAAACAGGAUUAGAUACCCCGGUAGUCCCUGUCUCUUAUAC
rnacentral:rRNA from 1 species